AUUGAACGCUGGCGGCAUGCCUUACACAUGCAAGUCGAACGGUAACAGGUCUUCGGAUGCUGACGAGUGGCGAACGGGUGAGUAAUACAUCGGAACGUGCCUAGUAGUGGGGGAUAACUACUCGAAAGAGUGGCUAAUACCGCAUGAGAGCUACGGAUGAAAGAAGGGGAUCGCAAGACCUUGUGCUACUAGAGCGGCCGAUGGCAGAUUAGGUAGUUGGUGGGAUAAAAGCUUACCAAGCCGACGAUCUGUAGCUGGUCUGAGAGGACGAUCAGCCACACUGGGACUGAGACACGGCCCAGACUCCUACGGGAGGCAGCAGUGGGGAAUUUUGGACAAUGGGCGAAAGCCUGAUCCAGCAAUGCCGCGUGCAGGAUGAAGGCCUUCGGGUUGUAAACUGCUUUUGUACGGAACGAAAAGCCCUGGGUUAAUACCCUGGGGUCAUGACGGUACCGUAAGAAUAAGCACCGGCUAACUACGUGCCAGCAGCCGCCGUAA
rnacentral:rRNA from 1 species